AGGACGAACGCUGGCGGCGUGCUUAACACAUGCAAGUCGAACGAGGUCCAACCUUCGGGUGAAGACCUAGUGGCGAACGGGUGCGUAACACGUGAGGAACUUGUCCCGGUCUCUGGGAUAACAGUUGGAAACGACUGCUAAUACCGGAUGACGUCGGAGCGUCGCAUGGCGCGCUGACGAAAGGGUUACUGGAUCGGGAGAGCCUCGCGGCCUAUCAGCUUGUUGGUGGGGUAACGGCCUACCAAGGCAUCGACGGGUAGCUGGUCUGAGAGGAUGAUCAGCCACACUGGGACUGAGACACGGCCCAGACUCCUACGGGAGGCAGCAGUGGGGAAUCUUGCGCAAUGGGCGAAAGCCUGACGCAGCAACGCCGCGUGCGGGAAGAAGGCUCUCGGGUUGUAAACCGCUUUCAGAAGGAACGAAACUGACGGUACUUCAGAAGAGGUGCGGCCAACUACGCGCCAGCAGCCGCGGUAA
rnacentral:rRNA from 1 species